GACGAACGCUGGCGGCGUGCUUAACACAUGCAAGUCGAACGGAAAGGCCCUGCUUUUGUGGGGUGCUCGAGUGGCGAACGGGUGAGUAACACGUGAGUAACCUGCCCUUGACUUUGGGAUAACUUCAGGAAACUGGGGCUAAUACCGGAUAGGAGCUCCUGCUGCAUGGUGGGGGUUGGAAAGUUUCGGCGGUUGGGGAUGGACUCGCGGCUUAUCAGCUUGUUGGUGGGGUAGUGGCUUACCAAGGCUUUGACGGGUAGCCGGCCUGAGAGGGUGACCGGCAACAUUGGGACGGGGAUACGGCCCAGACUCCUACGGGAGGAAGCAGUGGGGAUUAUUGCACAAUGGGCGGAAGCCUGAUGCAGAACCGCCGCGUGCGGGAUGACGGCCUUCGGGUUGUAAACCGCUUUCGCCUGUGACGAAGCGUGAGUGACGGUAAUGGGGAAAGAAGCACCGGCUACUACGUG
rnacentral:rRNA from 1 species